rnacentral:rRNA from 1 species
UAGGGGGCGAGCGUUAUCCGGAUUUAUUGGGCGUAAAGCGUGCGUAGGCGGUUUGUUAAGUCCAGAAUUAAAGCCCGAGGCUUAACCCCGGUUCGUUCUGGAUACUGGCAGGCUAGAGUAUGGUAGAGGCAAAUGGAAUUCCUAGUGUAGCGGUGAAAUGCGUAGAUAUUAGGAGGAACACCAGUGGCGAAGGCGAUUUGCUGGGCCAUCACUGACGCUGAGGUACGAAAGCGUGGGGAGCAAA